GGCGGUAUAGCUCAGUUGGUUAGAGCAGAGGAAUCAUAAUCCUUGUGUCGUUGGUUCGAAUCCGACUACCGCUA
rnacentral:tRNA from 1 species